rnacentral:rRNA from 1 species
UACGUAGGGUGCGAGCGUUAAUCGGAAUUACUGGGCGUAAAGCGUGCGCAGGCGGUUUUGUAAGCCAGAUGUGAAAUCCCCGGGCUUAACCUGGGAAUGGCAUUUGGGACUGCAAGGCUUGAGUAUGGCAGAGGGGACUAGAAUUCCUGGUGUAGCAGUGAAAUGCGUAGAUAUCAGGAGGAAUACCGAUGGCGAAGGCAGGUCCCUGGGUUAAUACUGACGCUCAUGCACGAAAGCGUGGGGAGCAAACAGG